rnacentral:rRNA from 1 species
CAGCAGCCGCGGGAAUACCGAGGGUGCGAGCGUUAAUCGGAUUUACUGGGCGUAAAGCGUGCGUAGGCGGCUUCUUAAGUCUGAUGUGAAAUCCCUGAGCUUAACUUAGGAAUUGCAUUCGAUACUGGGAAGCUAGAGUAUGGGAGAGGAUGGUAGAAUUCCAGGUGUAGCGGUGAAAUGCGUAGAGAUCUGGAGGAAUACCGAUGGCGAAGGCAGCCAUCUGGCCUAAUACUGACGCUGAGGUACGAAAGCAUGGGGAGCAAACAGGAUUAGAUACCCCAGUAGUCCCUGUCUCUUAUAC